GACGAACGCUGGCGGCGUGCUUAACACAUGCAAGUCGAACGGAAAGGCCCUGCUUUUGUGGGGUGCUCGAGUGGCGAACGGGUGAGUAACACGUGAGUAACCUGCCCUUGACUUUGGGAUAACUUCAGGAAACUGGGGCUAAUACCGGAUAGGAGCUCCUGCUGCAUGGUGGUGGUUGGAAAGUUUCGGCGGUUUGGGAUGGACUCGCGGCUUAUCAGCUUGUUGGUGGGGUAGUGGCUUACCAAGGCUUUGACGGGUAGCCCGCCUGAGAGGGGGACCGGCCACAAUGGGACUGAGGUACGGCCCAGACUCCUACCGGAGGCAGCAGGGGGGAAUAUUGCAAAAUGGGGCGAAGCCUGACGCAGCCACGCCGCGUGCGUGAUGACGGCCUUCGGGUUGUAAACCGCUUUCGCCUGUGACGAAGCGUGAGUGACGGUAAUGGGUAAAGAAGCACCGGCUAACUACGUG
rnacentral:rRNA from 1 species